GAUCACUUCAGCAGCACAUGUACUAGAAUUGGAAUGAUACAGAGAAGAUUAGCAUGGCCUCUGCUCAUGAAUGACACAAAUUUGUGAAGCAUUGCUUAUUAGG